UGACUGCGUACCUUUUGUAUAAUGGGUCAGCGACUUAUAUUCUGUAGCAAGGUUAACCGUAUAGGGGAGCCGGAGGGAAACCGAGUCUUAACCGGGCGUUAAGUUGCAGGGUAUAGACCCGAAACCCGGUGAUCUAGCCAUGGGCAGGUUGAAGGUUGGGUAACACUAACUGGAGGACCGAACCGACUAAUGUUGAAAAAUUAGCGGAUGACCUGUGGCUGGGGGUGAAAGGCCAAUCAAACCGGGAGAUAGCUGGUUCUCCCCGAAAGCUAUUUAGGUAGCGCCUCGUGAAUUCAUCUCCGGGGGUAGAGCACUGUUUCGGCUAGGGGGCCAUCCCGGCUUACCAACCCGAUGCAAACUGCGAAUACCGGAGAAUGUUAUCACGGGAGACACACGGCGGGUGCUAACGUCCGUCGUGAAGAGGGAAACAACCCAGACCGCCAGCUAAGGUCCCAAAGUCAUGGUUAAGUGGGAAACGAUGUGGGAAGGCCCAGACAGCCAGGAUGUUGGCUUAGAAGCAGCCAUCAUUUAAAGAAAGCGUAAUAGCUCACUGGUCGAGUCGGCCUGCGCGGAAGAUGUAACGGGGCUAAACCAUGCACCGAAGCUGCGGCAGCGAACGUAUCACCCAAGACAACUUUACGGAGUUGACGAUUGACGGAGCGAAGCGACGUCAAAGCGUUCAUUAAAGUCGAGUUGGCUUAGGGAUACGUUCGUUGGGUAGGGGAGCGUUCUGUAAGCCUGUGAAGGUGUGUCGUGAGGCAUGCUGGAGGUAUCAGAAGUGCGAAUGCUGACAUAAGUAACGAUAAAGCGGGUGAAAAGCCCGCUCGCCGGAAGACCAAGGGUUCCUGUCCAACGUUAAUCGGGGCAGGGUGAGUCGACCCCUAAGGCGAGGCCGAAAGGCGUAGUCGAUGGGAAACGGGUUAAUAUUCCCGUACUUGGUGUUACUGCGAAGGGGGGACGGAGAAGGCUAUGUUGGCCGGGCGACGGUUGUCCCGGUUUAAGCGUGUAGGUGUGUGUUCCAGGUAAAUCCGGUUCACUUUAACACUGAGGCGUGACGACGAGGCACUACGGUGCUGAAGCAACAAAUGCCCUGCUUCCAGGAAAAGCCUCUAAGCAUCAGGUAACACGAAAUCGUACCCCAAACCGACACAGGUGGUCAGGUAGAGAAUACCAAGGCGCUUGAGAGAACUCGGGUGAAGGAACUAGGCAAAAUGGUGCCGUAACUUCGGGAGAAGGCACGCUGACACGUAGGUGAAGUGAUUUACUCAUGGAGCUGAAGUCAGUCGAAGAUACCAGCUGGCUGCAACUGUUUAUUAAAAACACAGCACUGUGCAAACACGAAAGUGGACGUAUACGGUGUGACGCCUGCCCGGUGCCGGAAGGUUAAUUGAUGGGGUCAGCGUAAGCGAAGCUCCUGAUCGAAGCCCCGGUAAACGGCGGCCGUAACUAUAACGGUCCUAAGGUAGCGAAAUUCCUUGUCGGGUAAGUUCCGACCUGCACGAAUGGCGUAAUGAUGGCCAGGCUGUCUCCACCCGAGACUCAGUGAAAUUGAACUCGCUGUGAAGAUGCAGUGUACCCGCGGCAAGACGGAAAGACCCCGUGAACCUUUACUAUAGCUUGACACUGAACAUUGAGCCUUGAUGUGUAGGAUAGGUGGGAGGCUUUGAAGUGUGGACGCCAGUCUGCAUGGAGCCGACCUUGAAAUACCACCCUUUAAUGUUUGAUGUUCUAACGUGGACCCGUAAUCCGGGUUGCGGACAGUGUCUGGUGGGUAGUUUGACUGGGGCGGUCUCCUCCUAAAGAGUAACGGAGGAGCACGAAGGUUGGCUAAUCCUGGUCGGACAUCAGGAGGUUAGUGCAAUGGCAUAAGCCAGCUUGACUGCGAGCGUGACGGCGCGAGCAGGUGCGAAAGCAGGUCAUAGUGAUCCGGUGGUUCUGAAUGGAAGGGCCAUCGCUCAACGGAUAAAAGGUACUCCGGGGAUAACAGGCUGAUACCGCCCAAGAGUUCAUAUCGACGGCGGUGUUUGGCACCUCGAUGUCGGCUCAUCACAUCCUGGGGCUGAAGUAGGUCCCAAGGGUAUGGCUGUUCGCCAUUUAAAGUGGUACGCGAGCUGGGUUUAGAACGUCGUGAGACAGUUCGGUCCCUAUCUGCCGUGGGCGCUGGAGAACUGAGGGGGGCUGCUCCUAGUACGAGAGGACCGGAGUGGACGCAUCACUGGUGUUCGGGUUGUCAUGCCAAUGGCACUGCCCGGUAGCUAAAUGCGGAAGAGAUAAGUGCUGAAAGCAUCUAAGCACGAAACUUGCCCCGAGAUGAGUUCU
rnacentral:rRNA from 1 species